rnacentral:rRNA from 1 species
GUAGGUGGCAAGCGUUGUCCGGAAUUAUUGGGCGUAAAGCGCGCGCAGGCGGUUCUUUAAGUCUGAUGUGAAAGCCCACGGCUCAACCGUGGAGGGUCAUUGGAAACUGGAGAACUUGAGUACAGAAGAGGAAAGCGGAAUUCCACGUGUAGCGGUGAAAUGCGUAGAGAUGUGGAGGAACACCAGUGGCGAAGGCGGCUUUCUGGUCUGUAACUGACGCUGAGGCGCGAAAGCGUGGGGAGCAAACAGGAUUAGAUACCCUGGUAGUCCACGCCGUAAACGAUGAGUGCUAAGUGUUAGGGGGUUUCCGCCCCCCUUAGUGCUGCAGCUAACGCAUCAAGCACUCCGCCUGGGAGUACGGCCGCAAGGCUG